GUGCUCUGACUUCUCUUCAUCAAUCGUACUAAUCUUUCACCUUUUACUAAAGAUUACCGUGGAGAGGAGCAUCCUAAUGAUCUUAAGCUAAUUUUUGGAAUGCCACAUAGUGGGAU
rnacentral:snRNA from 1 species